CUCCCGUUGCAGAUAGCGAGCACCCCAGCACAGGGUCUGGCCGGCCCAUCGCAGCUCAGGGGCCUCUGGGCGACUCUUGGCGGUGUGGGAAGCGUGUGCCCGCGCACCUGGCAAAGUUGCACACCCGCAAGCUCCCUGGGUGUCCCGAGCUGCGGCGCGACCACCUCCUCCGAGAGGGUCUCGGACCGGCUGAGCUGAUGCUGUGCCUGUGAUGAGAUGAAGUGAACGGCAAUGUGACACACAGUUAGCUGCUAACCAGGUGGUUAAAUGACUACCACGAAAGGGUUGGACAGAAUGAGAUGGAAAGAAUGAUCCCAUCACACUACUCAGAAUGGUGCGUGAUAAAACUUAUGAAUUGUUUGUUUC
rnacentral:lncRNA from 1 species